AACGAACGCUGGCGGCAUGCCUAACACAUGCAAGUCGAACGAAGCCUUCGGGCUUAGUGGCGCACGGGUGCGUAACGCGUGGGAAUCUGCCUCUUGCUUCGGAAUAACAGUUAGAAAUGACUGCUAAUACCGGAUGAUGUCUUCGGACCAAAGAUUUAUCGGCAAGAAAUGAGCCCGCGUAGGAUUAGGUAGUUGGUGGGGUAAAGGCCUACCAAGCCGACGAUCCUUAGCUGGUCUGAGAGGAUGAUCAGCCACACUGGGACUGAGACACGGCCCAGACUCCUACGGGAGGCAGCAGUGGGGAAUAUUGGACAAUGGACGCAAGUCUGAUCCAGCAAUGCCGCGUGAGUGAUGAAGGCCUUAGGGUUGUAAAGCUCUUUUACCAGGGAUGAUAAUGACAGUACCUGGAGAAUAAGCUCCGGCUAACUCCGUGCCAGCCGCCGCAGUAACAC
rnacentral:rRNA from 1 species